rnacentral:rRNA from 1 species
CCUACGGGAGGCAGCAGCGAGGGAUUUUCGGCAAUGGGCGCAAGCCUGACCGAGCAACGCCGCGUGCGGGACGACGCCCUUCGGGAUGUAAACCGCUUUUGGGCGGGAAGAUGGUGACGGUACCGCUCGAAUCAGCCUCGGCUAACUACGUGCCAGCAGCCGCGGUAAGACGUAGGAGGCGAGCGUUGUCCGGAGUUACUGGGCGUAAAGCGCGCGCAGGCGGCCGCGUAGGCCAUCGCGUGAAAUCCCCCGGCUCAACCGGGCGGGUGCGGGUAGAACCGUGCGGCUGGAGGGUGGUAGGGGCCAGUGGAAUUCCCGGUGUAGUGGUGAAAUGCGUAGAGACCGGGAGGAACACCCGCGGCGAAGGCGGCUGGCUGGGCCAUCUCUGACGCUGAGGCGCGAAGGCCAGGGGAGCGAACGGGAUUAGAUACCCCGGUAGUCCUGGCAGUAAACGAUGUCGACUGGGUGCGGGGAGGGCUCGACUCUUCCCGUGCCGGAGUCAACGCGGUAAGUCGGCCGCCUGGGGAGUACGGCCGCAAGGCUGAAACUCAAAGGAAUUGACGGGGGCCCGCACAAGCGGCGGAGCGUGUUGUUUAAUUCGAUGCGACGCGCAGCACCUUACCGGGGCUCGACAGGCGCCUGCAUGGCUCGGAAACGAGUCAGCCUUCGAGGGUGGCGCCCAGGUGCUGCAUGGCUGUCGUCAGCUCGUGUCGUGAGAUGUUGGGUUAAGUCCCGCAACGAGCGCAACCCCUGCGGCCAGUUGUGCUUUUCUGGCCGGACUGCCGGGACCAAACCGGAGGAAGGUGGGGAUGACGUCAAGUCCGCAUGUCCCUGACGCCCUGGGCGUCUAACUCGCUACAAUGGCCGGGACAGCGGGUUGCCAAACCGCUACGUCGGAGCCAAUCGCUCAAAUCCGUCUCAGUUCGGAUCGGGGGCUGCAACUCGAC